GUUAUCCGGAUUCACUGGGUUUAAAGGGUGCGUAGGCGGGCUUGUAAGUCCGUGGUGAAAUCUCUGAGCUUAACUCGGAAACUGCCAUGGAUACUAUGGGUCUUGAAUACUCGGGAGGUGAGCGGAAUAUGUCAUGUAGCGGUGAAAUGCUUAGAUAUGACAUAGAACACCAAUUGCGAAGGCAGCUUGCUACAGAGUUAUUGACGCUGAGGCACGAAAGCGUGGGGAUCAAACAGGAUUAGAUACCCUGGUAGUCCACGCCCUAAACUAUGGAUACUCGACGUUGGCGAUAUGACUGUCAGCGUCUGAGCGAAAGCAUUAAGUAUCCCACCUGGGAAGUACGACCGCAAGGUUGAAACUCAAAGGAAUUGGCGGGGGUCCGCACAAGCGGUGGAGCAUGUGGUUUAAUUCGAUGAUACGCGAGGAACCUUACCUGGGCUAGAAUGCUGCGUGACCGCGGGUGAAAGCUCGUUUUAUAGCAAUAUACACGCAGUAAGGUGCUGCAUGGCCGUCGUCAGCUCGUGCCGUGAGGUGUUGGGUUAAGUCCCGCAACGAGCGCAACCCCCAUCAGUAGUUGCCAUCAGGUUAAGCUGGGAACUCUACUGAAACUGCCGUCGUAAGACGCGAGGAAGGAGGGGAUGAUGUCAGGUCAUCAUGGCCUUUAUGCCCAGGGCUACACACGUGCUACAAUGGGAGGGACAAAGGGCUGCCACUUAGCGAUAAGGCGCCCAUCCCAAAAACC
rnacentral:rRNA from 1 species